CCCCUCUCAGGAUUGCACCUGGAAAGUUUCCAAUACUCUACCAGUCUCGACAAUGGGAGGGAAAGUCAAGCUGAGGCAUACCCAUUCCAUUCCUACCUCGAGCAGUGGCUAGUAAGUGGAAGACAAUCUGCUAUAAGU